UCGUACCUCGGAUUCUGUCCCCCCAUACUUUUGGAUCCAGGGGCUCCCCAUAAAAACGGGCAUAGCAAGGGGUUGGGCUGAAGGCCCCGCGUCGUCGGUCAUUGGACGACCUUGGUUACUCAACUCGAGGUGGAAAACCCUGCCGACUACGCCAAAUCUGUCACACCCAGGGGCAGCUAUGCUUUGACUAAGCCACACCCCUUCUCAACUUCCACCUCGAGGAGGUCCCCAAAGCCAACCCAAUGGCCAAACAACACGAGAACAAGUAAGUGAUAAAACAAUCUUUAUUUAAAUAUUUAAAAAUAGCUUGGGGAAUAGGGAAAGGGCAAUUAAAACUAAACUCUGACUCGGCCCUCCAGAUGGGCUAUGGCCGGGAAGAGGUCAGGGAGCAAGGGGGCCACGGGGAUCCGGGGCGUGGGACUCGGGGCCCGGCCAGAGUCUUAGGUAUCCGUAGCGCCCUCCUUCUUCCUCCUCUUCGCUGAAUACAACUCACGGUAAGUACUGGUUCACACAGUUCGUUCUCGGGGUGCUCACUCUCUUUCUCUUCCUCCACAGGCAACGGCUGGGACGCAAAGGCACAGUUAAUUCGGCUUGGUUUUGCUCUCACCUCUUCGCUGAUUGCAGCUCACAGUAAGUACUGGUUCACACAGUUCGUUCCUUGGGUGCUCACUCGCUUUCUCUUUCUCCACAGGCAGCGGCGUAAGUACAGGUUUCCUCGGUCUCUCCUCGUGUUACCCACUCUCUCUCCUUUUCUCUCCACAGGUAUCAACUUGGGCACAAUAGCACAGUUAGUUUGCUUUGAAUGGCUCUCACCUCUGGGCUGGACACAGCGUACUGUAAGUACAGGUUUCCUCUGUUUCUCCUUGUGUUACUCACUCUCUCUUUCCUUUUCUCUCCACAGGUAUCAGAUUGGACACAAAGCACAGUUAGUUUGCUUUGAAUAGCUCCCACCUCUGGGCUGAACACAGCGUACCGUGCUAUCUCCGGAGAUCUGAAGCAC